CGGGUACUGCCUGGCUCGUCAGGAACACAUAUAUCUCGGGGCCUUACGAUUCUUUAGGGAGUUGUCCCUGGUUGAGGCCGUGGCCUCUGUCACACGACGCCCACCUACAAAUGUAGGUCUCCGAGAAUCACGUUUCCAACGGCCAAGGUGGUCCCACU
rnacentral:other from 1 species